GACGAACGCUGGCGGCGUGCUUAACACAUGCAAGUCGAACGGAGUGGCGAACGGGUGAGUAACACGUGGGUGAACUGCCUUGCACUUCGGGAUACGCUUGGGAAACUGGGUCUAAUACCGGAUAGUGCAAGAUGAGCUCGGGGCCGAUCAGCUUGUUGGUGGGGUACUGGCCUACCAAGGCGUCGACGGGUAGCCGGCCUGAGAGGGGGUACGGGCUCAUUGGGACUGCGAUACGGCCCAGACGGCUACGGGAGGCAGCAGUGGGGAAUAUUGCACAAUGGGGGGAAGCCUGAUGCAGCGACGACGCGUGGGGGAUGAAGGCUUUCGGGUUGUAAACUCCUGUCGACAGGGACGCGGUACCUGUAUAAGAAGCACCGGCUAACUACGUGCCAGCAGCCGCGGUAAUAC
rnacentral:rRNA from 1 species